rnacentral:misc_RNA from 1 species
UUUAGCUAUUUAAUAUUUACUCAGACUACAUGGUUUCAAACGAGUUUGUAUGGGUCUCUGACGGGCGCGCACCAGCCGAAGCCGGCGGGGCCUAGGGCCCGGGCCCGCCAAAGCAACAUGGUAUAUUCACAAAGGGUUGGAGGGUCGGGCCCCCGAGGGGACCCUAACUCUUUUAAUGAUCCUUCCGCAGGUUCACCUAGAAUAAUGUUAGCAAAGGUCGUCGAAUAAGGAGGGCUUUCGAAUACUACGUACCUACGGAAA